rnacentral:tRNA from 1 species
GUUCCCAUCGUCUAGAGGCCUAGGACAUAAGAUUCUCAUUCUUAGAACACCGGUUCGACUCCGGUUGGGAACACCA